rnacentral:rRNA from 1 species
AUCAACGCUGGCGGCGUGCCUAAUACAUGCAAGUCGAGCGAACAGACGAGGAGCUUGCUCCUCUGACGUUAGCGGCGGACGGGUGAGUAACACGUGGAUAACCUACCUAUAAGACUGGGAUAACUUCGGGAAACCGGAGCUAAUACCGGAUAAUAUAUUGAACCGCAUGGUUCAAUAGUGAAAGACGGUUUUGCUGUCACUUAUAGAUGGAUCCGCGCCGCAUUAGCUAGUUGGUAAGGUAACGGCUUACCAAGGCGACGAUGCGUAGCCGACCUGAGAGGGUGAUCGGCCACACUGGAACUGAGACACGGUCCAGACUCCUACGGGAGGCAGCAGUAGGGAAUCUUCCGCAAUGGGCGAAAGCCUGACGGAGCAACGCCGCGUGAGUGAUGAAGGUCUUCGGAUCGUAAAACUCUGUUAUUAGGGAAGAACAAAUGUGUAAGUAACUAUGCACGUCUUGACGGUACCUAAUCAGAAAGCCACGGCUAACUACGUG